UCAAUAGCGAUUCAAAUCUAUUUAGAUUUGUUGACCGUAGGUUUUCUUGGCUCAUCGGCACGUUUUUCUUUUACACGACUUGAAUUAGAAUGGAAAUAGAAAUGUUUUAAAUUCCCCAACUGACCGACGGCAAUGAUAUUACGAGGAAAUAGUAAGUCGAAAGAUUAGGUAAUUUAGGUUGGCUGGCGGAGUGUUCGCAGAAUCUUUACGUAUUGCAACUGCUAAGCUCUUUAAUGGCGAUUUUUCAUCUGCUUAAGGUUUACAUUCCUUUCCUUGUUCUGCUUCAGGUUUUCUAUUUACUACCACAUCUGUAGUUCUCUUUGCUCCAACUAUAUUUAAAGUUAACAGGACUCAGAUGUAAAAUUGUUGAAACAACAGCAAAA